AGCAGCCGCGGUAAUUCCAGCUCCAAUAGCGUAUAUUAAAGUUGUUGCAGUUAAAAAGCUCGUAGUUGAAUUUCGGGAUUGACGUGAUGGUCAUGCCUUAAGGGGUAUGAACUGUUGCUGUUGAUUUCUCACCUUCUGGAGAAACUUGAUGUCCUUUAUUGGGUGUCUUGCGGAUCCAGGACCUUUACCUUGAAAAAAUUAGAGUGUUUAAAGCAGGCAUUUUUGCUCGAAUACAUUAGCAUGGAAUAAUAGAAUAGGACGGCAUGGUUCUAUUUUGUUGGUUUCUAGGAUCACCGUAAUGAUUAAUAGGGAUAGUUGGGGGCAUUAGUAUUCAAUUGUCAGAGGUGAAAUUCUUGGAUUUAUUGAAGACUAACUACUGCGAAAGCAUUUGCCAAGGAUGUUUUCAUUAAUCAAGAACGAAAGUUAGGGGAUCGAAGACGAUCAGAUACCGUCGUAGUCUUAACCAUAAACUAUGCCGACUAGGGAUCGGAUGAUGUUAAUUUUUAAUGUACUCU
rnacentral:rRNA from 1 species